rnacentral:ncRNA from 1 species
UAUUUUGGCUCGGGGCGUUCUUAAGUGAACUGAGAAGCACCCGUAUUACCUGAUCUGGAUAAUGCCAGCGUAGGGAAGUCCCGGUAUAUCUCA